UACGUAGGGUGCGAGCGUUAAUCGGAAUUACUGGGCGUAAAGCGUGCGCAGGCGGCGCGUUUAAGACAGGUGUGAAAGCCCCGAGCUUAACUUGGGAAUUGCGCUUGUGACUGGUGUGCUGGAGUGUGGCAGAGGGAGGUGGAAUUCCACGUGUAGCAGUGAAAUGCGUAGAGAUGUGGAGGAACACCGAUGGCGAAGGCAGCCUCCUGGGCCAGCACUGACGCUCAUGCACGAAAGCGUGGGGAGCAAACAGG
rnacentral:rRNA from 1 species